CUACCUCCGAAUUGGGGAUAACAUUGCGAAAGCGAUGCUAAUACCGGAUAAUAUCUUAAAAGCUUCGGUUUUAAAGAUCAAAGGUGGCCUCUACAUGUAAGCUUCUGUUUGGAGAUGAGCCCGCGUACCAUUAGCUUGUUGGCAGGGUAAUGGCCUACCAAGGCUACGAUGGUUAGCUGGUCUGAGAGGAUGAUCAGCCACACUGGAACUGACACACGGUCCAG
rnacentral:rRNA from 1 species